UCAGUUGUGAAAGUUUGCGGCUCAACCGUAAAAUUGCAGUUGAUACUGGAUGUCUUGAGUGCAGUUGAGGCAGGCGGAAUUCGUGGUGUAGCGGUGAAAUGCUUAGAUAUCACGAAGAACUCCGAUUGCGAAGGCAGCCUGCUAAGCUGCAACUGACAUUGAGGCUCGAAAGUGUGGUAUCAAACAGGAUUAGAUACCCUGGUAGUCCACACGGUAAACGAUGAAUACUCGCUGUUUGCGAUAUACGGCAAGCGGCCAAGCGAAAGCGUUAAGUAUUCCACCUGGGGAGUACGCCGGCAACGGUGAAACUCAAAGGAAUUGACGGGGGCCCGCACAAGCGGAGGAACAUGUGGUUUAAUUCGAUGAUACGCGAGGAACCUUACCCGGGCUUAAAUUGCAGAUGAAUUACGGUGAAAGCCGUAAGCCGCAAGGCAUCUGUGAAGGUGCUGCAUGGUUGUCGUCAGCUCGUGCCGUGAGGUGUCGGCUUAAG
rnacentral:rRNA from 1 species